rnacentral:piRNA from 1 species
UGUGAACCUGCUUGUUCUGUGUGUCCACAUA